rnacentral:rRNA from 1 species
CCUACGGGAGGCUGCAGUGGGGAAUAUUGCACAAUGGGGGAAACCCUGAUGCAGCGACGCCGCGUGAGUGAAGAAGUAUUUCGGUACGUAAAGCUCUAUCAGCAGGGAAGAAAAUGACGGUACCUGACUAAGAAGCCCCGGCUAACUACGUGCCAGCAGCCGCGGUAAUACGUAGGGGGCAAGCGUUAUCCGGAUUUACUGGGUGUAAAGGGAGCGUAGACGGCAGCGCAAGUCUGGAGUGAAAGCCCAUGGCUUAACCAUGGAACUGCUUUGGAAACUGUGCAGCUAGAGUGCAGGAGAGGUAAGCGGAAUUCCUAGUGUAGCAGUGAAAUGCGUAGAUAUUAGGAGGAACACCAGUGGCGAAGGCGGCUUACUGGACUGUAACUGACGUUGAGGCUCGAAAGCGUGGGGAGCAAACAGGAUUAGAUACCCGGGUAGUC